rnacentral:lncRNA from 1 species
AUUUAUUUGAGAGGAUUAAUAUUCAACAGCAUAGUGUAUUGCUCAAAGGCAAAACAAAAAUUUUAAGUUCAUUAGACCACAUUCAUUUUGUUCAGAACCUAUGCUGUGUCAACUAUUUAAUCACAAUCCAAAUUUAGAGCUGAAUCCAGCUUGAAUGUUGUGUCCAUACUUGCCCCAACCGUUCAGGGUUCAACCUCUGCGGCCGUAUAAAGCUGCGCCCUGCGGAGCAUCUGGUUAAUAAUGAAGUCAUAUACAUAAUUAUUAUUUUGACAUUGUUUUCACAGGUAUCAAGCACCUGGUUCCUACAAUGCAUUUUGGAAAUCUGAUGAACAGAAUACUGACAAGCCAGCUAAAAAAUAUUCCUAUGGAAGAAGUGGUCCAGGGGGAGACAAUUUCAAGAAAAGAGAAAAGAAAAGGAAAAAUGACUUUCAGAAAUCUCAGGGAGAAAAACAAGACAAUCCAAAAAUGAAAAAGGAAAGCCAAAAUUUAAAAGUAAACCAGCAGUCAAGUUGAUAAUAAAUACAUUUUAGGUUUACAGACUUGUCCAGUAGAUUUAUAAGUUUCAAUUUGUCAUGUGGAACUUACUAAUUCAUAAUCAGAGACACAUCACUAGUAUAGAAACACAUUGUUGAUGUUUGAGGAUUUAACAACAAUGAAUAAUGCUUUCUUAAUUUUCCAGUGAAUGUACAGCAUAUCAGAGUUGUACAAAUUGUUAUCUUCAAUUCAAAUCAAUACCAUAGAAUGGUGUUUCUAAAGGUGCUUUAUAUAGUAAUACAUUUUGUUAAGGAAACAGCAAUUAUUUAAAGACAUAAGAAAAAUGUGGCUGGUUAUAAAUUUGAAUACGAAGUUGAAUUGAAUUGAGAAGUUUGUUAUUAAAUAAAAUAUGGUCAGAUAACAUGAUAUUUUUUCAUGGUUAUAGAUUGAAAUGAAUUUUAUGCCACUUACUUUUGAAUGAGGAUGAUUUUAUAUUGUAAUACUUUUUAAGUUAUUUUAGGAAUUGAAAAAUAGUUUUGAAAAUUAUAAUCAGGAAGCC